rnacentral:rRNA from 1 species
UACGUAUGGUGCAAGCGUUAUCCGGAUUUACUGGGCGUAAAGGGAGCGCAGGCGGCGCGCCAAGUCUGAUGUGAAACCCCGGGGCUCAACCCCGGGCAUGCAUUGGAAACUGGCGGGCUGGAGUGCCGGAGAGGUAAGCGGAAUUCCUAGUGUAGCGGUGAAAUGCGUAGAUAUUAGGAGGAACACCGGUGGCGAAGGCGGCUUACUGGACGGCAACUGACGCUGAGGCUCGAAAGCGUGGGGAGCAAACAGG